rnacentral:lncRNA from 11 species
CUAUAUUAAUCAUAUACCACAAUGUCUAUAAUACACCACGAGUAUAUUAUAUUAUUAGUAUUAUGUCACAUUUUAGUGCUAAAUCAUAAGUUGCAUAAGAGAUGUGGGCGAAAUGUGACCAUGGCCGAAAAGGCGGCCGUGGUGGAGGCGGGGCUUCUUCUUGGCGCAUAUUAAUCAUAUACCAUGGUUCAGCCUCCUUUCUUGGGGAUUCAUCUGGAAAGAGUUGAAAGAGGAGAGAGACGCCUUUCCUUUGGGGAGUCACUUUUACCUCAGGAAAGGCUUUUCUUCCCGUCCAGAGGACCCUCUCUCUCCCACUCGAUUUUAGAAAUUUCUUUAUCAAACCUUUACCUCAGAAAAGCCUUGUGAAAUAGAAAGAAGAAAAUGCCAAUUUUAUUUAUUAAGAGAUUGUCACCUCAGACUUUACCUCAGAAAUGGCCAAGCCUUGUGAAACGGAAGGGAGAAACAAAGGCAAAACUUUUGAAAAUUAGCACAGCUUUUUCUGAAGGGACCAGGUGAAUAUUGUUGCAUUUUAUUUAUUAUAAUCUGAAAUAAUAAUUGGUUUCCAGAAGCAUUCUCUCCUGACGUUUCGCCCACAUCUAUGGCAAGAAACCAUAGAUUGCUGGUGAAGUUUUUAUAUACAGUAGAGUCUCACUUAUCCAACAUAAACGGGCCGACGGAAUGUUGGAUAAGCGAAUAUGUUGGAUAAUGAGGAGGGAUUAAGGAAAAGCCUAUUAAACAUCAAAAUAGGUUAUGAUUUUACAAAUUAAGCCCCAAAGCAUCAUGUUUUACAACAAAUUUGACAGAAAAAGUACAGUAGAGUCUCACUUAUCCAACACAAACGGGCCGACGGAACGUUGGAUAAGCGAAUAUGUUGGAUAAUGAGGAGGGAUUAAGGAAAAGCCUAUUAAACAUCAAAAUAGGUUAUGAUUUUACAAAUUAAGCCCUCCAAAGCAUCAUGGUGUUACAUCAUGUUUUACAACAAAUUUGACAGAAAAAGUACAGUAGAGUCUCACUUAUCCAACAUAAACGGGCCGACGGAACGUUGGAUAAGCGAAUAUGUUGGAUAAUGAGGAGGGAUUAAGGAAAAGCCUAUUAAACAUCAAAAUAGGUUAUGAUUUUACAAAUUAAGCCCCAAAGCAUCACGUUUUACAACAAAUUUGACAGAAAAAGUACAGUAGAGUCUCACUUAUCCAACACAAACGGGCCGACAGAACGUUGGAUAAGCGAAUAUGUUGGAUAAUGAGGAGAGAUUAAGGAAAAGCCUAUUAAACAUCAAAAUAGGUUAUGAUUUUACAAAUUAAGCCCCAAAACAUCACGUUUUACAACAAAUUUGACAGAAAAAGUACAGUAGAGUCUCACUUAUCCAACAUAAACGGGCCGGCAGAACGUUGGAUAAGCGAAUAUGUUGGAUAAUGAGGAGGGAUUAAGGAAAAGCCUAUUAAACAUCAAAAUAGGUUAUGAUUUUACAAAUUAAGCCCCAAAACAUCACGUUUUACAACAAAUUUGACAGAAAAAGUACAGUAGAGUCUCACUUAUCCAACAUAAACGGGCUGGCAGAACGUUGGAUAAGCGAAU